rnacentral:lncRNA from 1 species
GGCGAUGCAGUCAGGUGAUGCAGUCAAGUGGCGAUGCAGUCAGGUGGUGAUGCAGUCAGGUGAUGCAGUCAGGUGGCGAUGCAGUCAAGUGGCGAUGCAGUCAGGUGGCGAUGCAGUCAAGUGGCGAUGCAGUCAGGUGGCGAUGCAGUCAAGUGGCGAUGCAGUCAGGUGGCGAUGCAGUCAAGUGGCGAUGCAGUCAAGUGAUGCAGUCAGGUGGCGAUGCAGUCAAGUGGCGAUGCAGUCAGGUGAUGCAGUCAAGUGGCGAUGCAGUCAGGUGGCGAUGCAGUCAAGUGGCGAUGCAGUCAGGUGAUGCAGUCAAGUGGCGAUGCAGUCAGGUGGCGAUGCAGUCAAGUGGCGAUGCAGUCAAGCGAUGCAGUCAAGUGGCGAUGCAGUCAGGUGGCGAUGCAGUCAAGUGGCGAUGCAGUCAGGUGGCGAUGCAGUCAAGUGGCGAUGCAGUCAGGUGAUGCAGUCAGGUGGACGACCUCUCUACCUCCUGAGCCACAGCAUGAAUUAAUUGUGUUCGCUCUAAUGAGUGGAUGAACGACGGCGUGCACUGACCUUCAGCAGCGACUGCUUCUCCCCGCAGUUUACAGCUCCACCGAUUUACCUUCUUCACCUGACAGACACAGCACAGGACAGACUGCUCAAAGAUAUAUAUAACUAGUACAUGUAUUAAGUAGUAUAAUGUCGACGUACUUAACUUACUAGUUAAAGAUCUGAGUACUUCUGACUGUGGAUACACUUAUUUUGUAUAUAUUAUUAUUUACAAACAAAUAUGGGAGUACUGAUUCACCGCUAGCUUAGCAGUUAGCUCAGUAGUCACAGCCAUAGACAUACAGUUAGCCUGUCUGUUAGCCUUUAGUCUGUCUGUUAGCCCUUAGCCUACUUGUUAGCCUUUAGCCUGCUUGUUAGCCUUUAGCCUGCUUGUUAGCCUUUAGGCUGUCUGUUAGCCUUUAGCCUACUUGUUAGUCUUUAGCCUGCUUGUUAGCCCUUAGCCUGCUUGUUAGCCUUUAGUCUGUCUGUUAGCCCUUAGCCUACUUGUUAGUCUUUAGCCUGCUUGUUAGCCUUUAGCCUGCUUGUUAGCCUUUAGGCUGUCUGUUAGCCUUUAGCCUACUUGUUAGUCUUUAGCCUGCUUGUUAGCCCUUAGCCUGUCUGUUAGCCCUUCGCCUGUCUGUUAGCCUUUAGUCUGUCUGUUAGCCCUUAGCCUACUUGUUAGCCUUUAGCCUGCUUGUUAGCCCUUAGCCUGCUUGUUAGCCCUUAGCCUGUCUGUUAGCCUUUAGCUCAGUGUAUCUCUGUGUCUGAGUUUAUUUGUUACUUGUUGAACCGGGAAGCUCUGACAGGUAAAACACUUGAGCACGUGAAACUCCUGAACCAUGAUGGACCGACGGUAAAAGUCUCCGGUUCUCCAGUUCUGAUGGUUCUUCUCCAGCUGACUUUUCCCGGGAUUGUUUGAACCGUUGAAAGUGUGAGACGUGACAAGCCAAGCCGAGCAGGGCCGGAGGACAACAGACAUUAACUUUUAUUAUUAU